UUUGACGUCAAGGAAUGUAAAAGGGUUUGUUCAAUGCAUAAAUAUUGUUUUGAAUUCAAAUAAUGAAAAAUAUAAUCAUGUGUCUAUUGUUUAUAAGCGAUUUAUCAAGAAAUCGAAGACCAAGUUUUUUUCAGUGGAAAGUUACCAUGAAUGGACCCGUGCCAACAUCAACUACAGACUAGAGUGUGUGUGUGUUUCUGUUGACAUGCAGUGCUAUUCUGUUUAUCAUAUAGCUAGUUGUAAAGCCCAAUACCUCAAUCUACUGCCUGUUCUGUUUUAAUUGGAGACAAUGUGACCUGAUAUCAGAAGAGGUGUAUUGUUGCUCAUUAAAGAAUCCAAAAGUAUCAAAGAACCUGAAGACUCCACAAA